rnacentral:lncRNA from 1 species
AAAAUUUCGUAGAAUGCAUAUUGUGUCAAAACGGUAGAUUAAACAAACACUUAGAGUUAAUAUUAUACUUCUAUUAAGUAUAAAAUAAGUUUUUGUGGUAUCCACUAUUGUAAAUAUUUUAAAUUAAAGAUCAAAUUUAUUCAUUACAUUCUUAUAGGGUCGAGGAGUGUAUCUGUAAAAAUUCAUCAAAAUCGGAGUUAAAAUAACCGUUAAAUUGUGAUUUUUCGUUUAUAACCGUCGAAAACUUUUGUUCCGUUACGUAAUCUCUGAAUGUUUGUUUUUUAGGAUUUUUUACGUAUGCAAUCUUGGAAUGUGUACAAAUAAGUUUGACGGUUGGAUCGUUGAACAAAGUUUUUGAACCGCCAGCAAUAGAUAAUUUUGUUGUAGUAAAACCUUAAAUUUAUUUAACCGUCGAUUAUCAUUUACGCUUUAUUCUUCUUACUGAAUUUCAUUUUUAAAAUUUUAUUUUUUUAAAACAUGAUUAUCUGGCGGAUGUAAGAAGAUGAUAUCACGUUUCGAUAUUUACGGUUAACUGAAAUAUGAGUCAAUAUGAUAUAAUUUGUAGAAACUUUAUAAACAUCAAGCAAUAUUUUCACUAACCGUAAAACUCUAAAUAUAAUAUCAACGAUCCAAACCGUUCAUCUACUUGCACCCUCU